rnacentral:rRNA from 1 species
AGAGCAUCGGGUGGAUGCCUUGGCGUCGGAAGGCGAUGAAAGACGCGGUAAGCUGCGAUAAGCCUCGGGGAGGAGCUAAACAUCCUUUGAUCCGGGGAUUUCUGAAUGGGGAAACCCGGCGGGAGUCAUGUCCCGUCGCCUGCAGGUGAAUACAUAGCCUGCAAGGAGCCAACUCGGGGAAGUGAAACAUCUCAGUACCCGAAGGAAAGGAAAUCAAACGAGACUCCCUCAGUAGCGGCGAGCGAAGGGGGAAGAGCCCAAACCGUGCGGAUUCGUCCGUGCGGGGUUGUAGGACCGGCAUAAGUGAUUCGCGAGUAGGCAGGGGAAGGAGGCUGGAAAGCCUCGCCAAAGCGGGUGAAAGCCCCGUACCCGAACCUGAAAACGACGCUGCCGGCACCUGAGUACCGCGAGGCACGUGAAACCUCGUGGGAAUCUGGGAGGACCAUCUUCCAAGGCUAAGUACUAACCGACGACCGAUAGUGCACCAGUACCGUGAGGGAAAGGUGAAAAGAACCCCUGUCAGGGGAGUGAAAUAGAAUCUGAAACCUGAUGCUUACAAGCUGUGGGAGCCGGGCAUGCCCGGUGACCACGUGCCUUUUGCAUAAUGAGUCAGCGAGUUGAUCUGUACUGCGAGGUUAAGCGCAAGUGGAGCCGUAGCGAAAGCGAGUCUGAAUAGGGCGACAAGUAGUGCGGAUCAGACCCGAAACCGGGUGAUCUAUCCAUGAGCAGGUUGAAGCAAGGGUAAAGCCUUGUGGAGGACCGAACCAAUAACGGCUGAAAACGUUGUGGAUGACUUGUGGAUAGGGGUGAAAGGCCAAUCAAACCCGGUGAUAGCUGGUUCUCCCCGAAAUAUAUUGAGGUAUAGCCUCGUGGAUUGUCUAUUGGAGGUAAAGCACUGACAGAGCUAGGGGUCCUACCAGAUUACCAAACUCUUUCAAACUCAGAAUGCCAAUCAGAUGUACCACGGGAGUCAGACGGCGGGUGCUAAGGUUCGUCGUCGAGAGGGUAAGAGCCCAGAUCAACAGCUAAGGCCUCCAAAUCUAUGCUCAGUGGUGAAGGUGGUGACGUUGUAGAGACACCCAGGACGUUGGCUUAGAAGCAGCCAUCGUUUAAAGAAAGCGUAAUAGCUCACUGGUCUAAUGACGUUGCGCCGAAAAUGUAACGGGGCUAAGCAUAGUGCCGAAGCUUUGAAUUCCGCGUAUGCGGUCUGGUAGGGGAGCGUUCUUCAUGGGCUGAAGGCGUGCUGUAAAGCACGUUGGACUGUGGAGAAGUGAUUAUGCUGACAUGAGUAACGAUAAAACGGGUGAAAAACCCGUUCGCCGUAAACCCAAGGUUUCCUGGGUAAAGGUAAUCUUCCCAGGGUUAGUCGGCCCCUAAGGCGAGGCUGAAAGGCGUAGCUGAUGGGAAACGAGUUAAUAUUCUCGUACUUGUGUGUCCGCGCGAUGGAGGGACGCAGGAAGGUAAACGGUCCGGGUGUUGGUAUACCCGGUGCAAGCAGGUAGGCGUGCAGCACAGGCAAAUCCGUGCUGCUCUACGCUGAGACGCGAGUCCGUGGCCGCAAGGCCUGAAGCCGUUGAGCCUCUACUGCCUAGAAAAGCUCCUAAGUAUAGGAUACGCAAACCGUACUGCAAACCAACUCAGGUGGGUGGGAUGAAUAAUCCAAGGCGCUCGAGAGAACUCUGGCCAAGGAACUCGGCAAAAUAACCCCGUAACUUCGGAAGAAGGGGUGCUCUCUAGGGUGACAUGUUUAACAUAUGAAGCCCCGGGGAGCCGCAGUGAAUUGGUGGUGGCGACUGUUUACUAAAAACAUAGGUCUGUGCGAAGUCCUAAAGACGACGUAUACGGACUGACGCCUGCCCGGUGCUGGAAGGUUAAAAGGAGGGGUCAGCGCAAGCAAAGCUCCGAAUUGAAGCCCCAGUAAACGGCGGCCGUAACUAUAACGGUCCUAAGGUAGCGAAAUUCCUUGUCGGGUAAGUUCCGACCUGCACGAAUGGCGUAACGAUCUCCACACUGUCUCGGCCAGAGACUCGGUGAAAUUGAAGUCGCGGUGAAAAUGCCGUGUACCCGCAGAAAGACGGAAAGACCCUGUGCACCUUUACUAUAGCUUGACAUUGGGAUUUGGACCAGCAUGUGUAGGAUAGGUGGGAGACUGUGAACCCUGUACGCUAGUAUGGGGGGAGUCAUUGUUGAAAUACCACCCUUGUUUUUUCAGGUCCCUAACCCUCCACCGUGAUCCGGUGAGGGAACAGUGUCUGGUGGGUAGUUUGACUGGGGCGGUCGCCUCCUAAAGAGUAACGGAGGCAUGCAAAGGUUCCCUCAGGCUGAUUGGAAACCAGCCGUCGAGUGCAAACGCAAAAGGGAGCUUGACUGCAAGAGAGACAUCUCGAGCAGGUACGAAAGUAGGUGUUAGUGAUCCGGUGGUCCCGUAUGGAAGGGCCAUCGCUCAUUGGAUAAAAGGUACGCCGGGGAUAACAGGCUGAUCGCAUCCAAGAGUUCACAUCGACGAUGCGGUUUGGCACCUCGAUGUCGGCUCAUCACAUCCUGGGGCUGAAGCAGGUCCCAAGGGUACGGCUGUUCGCCGUUUAAAGUGGUACGCGAGCUGGGUUUAAAACGUCGUGAGACAGUUUGGUCCCUAUCUUCUGUGGGCGCUGGAGAAUUGAAAGGGCCUGUCCCUAGUACGAGAGGACCGGGAUGGACGCACCCCUGGUGGACCUGUUGUCGUGCCAACGGCACAGCAGGGUAGCUAUGUGCGGAAGGGAUAACCGCUGAAAGCAUCUAAGCGGGAAGCCUGCCUUAAGAUAAGUUCUCCCUGGAGCAAUCCCUGAAGGGCCGAGGUAGACUACCUCGUCGAUAGGCUGGAGGUGGAAGCGCCGCGAGGCGUGGAGCUGACCAGUACUAAUAGCCCGUGCGGCUUGUUU